rnacentral:rRNA from 1 species
CUCGUAGGCGGUUCGUCGCGUCCGGUGUGAAAGUCCAUCGCUUAACGGUGGAUCCGCGCCGGGUACGGGCGGGCUUGAGUGCGGUAGGGGAGACUGGAAUUCCCGGUGUAACGGUGGAAUGUGUAGAUAUCGGGAAAGAACACCAAUGGCGAAGGCAGGUCUCUGGGCCGUUACUGACGCUGAGGAGCGAAAGCGUGGGGAGCGAACA